AUCCCUGGCUCAGAUUGAACGCUGGCGGCAGGCCUAACACAUGCAAGUCGAGCGGUAGAGAGAAGCUUGCUUCUCUUGAGAGCGGCGGACGGGUGAGUAAUGCCUAGGAAUCUGCCUGGUAGUGGGGGAUAACGUUCGGAAACGGACGCUAAUACCGCAUACGUCCUACGGGAGAAAGCAGGGGACCUUCGGGCCUUGCGCUAUCAGAUGAGCCUAGGUCGGAUUAGCUAGUUGGUGAGGUAAUGGCUCACCAAGGCGACGAUCCGUAACUGGUCUGAGAGGAUGAUCAGUCACACUGGAACUGAGACACGGUCCAGACUCCUACGGGAGGCAGCAGUGGGGAAUAUUGGACAAUGGGCGAAAGCCUGAUCCAGCCAUGCCGCGUGUGUGAAGAAGGUCUUCGGAUUGUAAAGCACUUUAAGUUGGGAGGAAGGGCAUUAACCUAAUACGUUGGUGUCUUGACGUUACCGACAGAAUAAGCACCG
rnacentral:rRNA from 1 species